rnacentral:rRNA from 1 species
AUUGAACGCUGGCGGCAGGCCUAACACAUGCAAGUCGAGCGGCAGCGGGAAAGUAGCUUGCUACUUUUGCCGGCGAGCGGCGGACGGGUGAGUAAUGCCUGGGGAUCUGCCCAGUCGAGGGGGAUAACUACUGGAAACGGUAGCUAAUACCGCAUACGCCCUACGGGGGAAAGCAGGGGACCUUCGGGCCUUGCGCGAUUGGAUGAACCCAGGUGGGAUUAGCUAGUUGGUGAGGUAACGGCUCACCAAGGCGACGAUCCCUAGCUGGUCUGGGAGGAGGAGCAGCCGAGCUGGAACUGGGACGCGGUCCAGACGCCUACGGGGGGCAGAAGUGGGGAAUAGUGCACAAUGGGGGAAACCCUGAUGCAGCCAUGCCGCGUGUGUGAAGAAGGCCUUCGGGUUGUAAAGCACUUUCAGCGAGGAGGAAAGGUCAGUAGCUAAUAUCUGCUGGCUGUGACGUUACUCGCAGAAGAAGCACCGGCUAACUCCGUGCCAGCAGCCGCCGUAA